rnacentral:rRNA from 1 species
AACGAACGCUGGCGGCAUGCCUAACACAUGCAAGUCGAACGAGGCCUUCGGGUCUAGUGGCGCACGAGUGCGUAACGCGUGGGAACCUUCACUUAGGUUCGGAAUAACUCCCCGAAAGGGGUGCUAAUACCGGAUAAUGUCUUCGGACCAAAGAUUUAUCGCCUUUGGAUGGGCCCGCGUUGGAUUAGCUAGUUGGUAGGGUAAAAGCCUACCAAGGCGACGAUCCAUAGCUGGUCUGAGAGGAUGAUCAGCCACACUGGGACUGAGACACGGCCCAGACUCCUACGGGAGGCAGCAGUGGGGAAUAUUGGACAAUGGGCGAAAGCCUGAUCCAGCAAUGCCGCGUGAGUGAUGAAGGCCUUAGGGUUGUAAAGCUCUUUUACCCGGGAUGAUAAUGACAGUACCGGGAGAAUAAGCGCCGGCUAACUCCGUG